rnacentral:rRNA from 1 species
UAAGCGGAGGAAAAGAAACUAACAAGGAUUCCCCUAGUAACUGCGAGUGAAGCGGGAAAAGCUCAAAUUUAAAAUCUGGUGGUCUUUGGCCAUCCGAGUUGUAAUUUAGAGAAGCGUCUUCCGCGCUGGACCGUGCACAAGUCUCCUGGAAUGGAGCGUCAUAGGGGGUGAGAAUCCCGUCUUUGGCAUGGAAUCCCAGGGCUUCUGUGAUGCGCUCUCGACGAGUCGAGUUGUUUGGGAAUGCAGCUCAAAAUGGGUGGUGAACUCCAUCUAAAGCUAAAUAUUGGCGAGAGACCGAUAGCGAACAAGUACCGUGAGGGAAAGAUGAAAAGCACUUUGGAAAGAGAGUGAAACAGUACGUGAAAUUGUUGAAAGGGAAACGCUUGAAGUCAGUCGCGUCGACCGAGACUCAGCCUUGCCUCGGCUUGGUGUACUUCUCGGCUGACGGGUCAGCAUCGAUUUCGAUCCUCGGAUAAUGGCAAGGGAAAGGUAGCACCUUUUUAGGUGUGUUAUAGUCCUCUGUCGCAUGCGAGGGUCGGGAUCGAGGAACUCAGCACGCACCUCAGGGUGUCGGGGCCUUGGCCCACGUUUACGUGCUUAGGAUGCUGGCGUAAUGGCUUUAAACGACC